AACAUACUCCCUCUGACCGGAAAUACUUGUCAUCAAAAUGAAAAAUAAUGUAUCUAGAAUUAAAAUACGUCUAGAUAUAUCUUCUUUUAUUUAUUUUGAUAAUAAGUAUUUUCGAACGGAGGAAGUAUUAU
rfam:Triticum urartu cultivar G1812 contig1044984, whole genome shotgun sequence.